CUUUUUAUAUGUAAAUGGUAACGGUAUAGUAAUUGCAAAGAUGGAUAGAAGGUGUUUGUUGAAGAUUAUUUUCCUUGUUAUACUACUAAUCUCUUCUACCACUGGAAGUGACGAAGUGGAGUUUGUAUCAAGAAGAUUGCUACGAUUGAAAUCAUUAUGUGGUGAUUGUAUCUACAAUUUUGAUUGUGUGCAGAGUGGUUGUGGAGAUUUGUGUGUACCAAAUGAUCCUCAUUUUUUCUUUGGUAAAUGCAGAUAUAGAUGAACAAAGACUAAUCUCAUUUUGUUCUUCACUUUAUUUUUAUUUUUUUAGCACAAAAACCGGGAAAUGCAUAUUCGAUAAUGUAUUUAUAAUUUUGUAAUUAUGCCCUUCAAAUGUUUUGAUUGGACAUGUUUUAUUUUCA